CAACAUGUAUCACAUAGGGAUGAUUGAAUGUCUUUUUGGGCCACGAGUCCAUUUUUGACAAAAUUUGGAUAGGCUUCCAACAAUGGGACACGGUGCCUGGGAUCGAACCCUCCUAGGUUUAAAUGAUAUGAUGUACAUAAGCAUGACCUAAAGGCUGACUUACGGUUGGGGCUCACUAGACAAGGCAAUUCCGGGCGACACGUGGUCGAUGGCGGCUGCUCUAGCUGUCCGCCCACUCCACGCUCAAACGUACUCCAGAAGACUGGUUGCAGAAAGAAGACUCAUGCUUAUGAUGAAAGUUUAUAAAACAGUAACACAUAAAGGAAAACUGUAAAUAAAUAAGCAUCUAGCAAAUAAUAAAAAGGCAUAAACAAAAAUAAAUUCAAAUAAAGCAAAAAAAACACAUAAAAACCUCAACCUAAUAUCCUAAAAGCCAACAAGAUCAAGUACUAGCUCGAACCUGCAAUUUUCCAGCAGAGUCGCCAGAGAUGUCACACCCCUUUUUUAACAAAACUCUCACUAAACCCUCCUAAAUUAAUAAAAAGAUUUAGUAAAAGCUUGAAAAAAGGUUUUCAAUUUGAAAAGUGACAAAAUUGUGUGUUCAAAAGGAUUAACACAGAGUCGCCACCUGAUAUUUGAUUUCGGUGUGUCAGGUCACCAGUUGUCCAAAAGUAAUAAUUUUCCUUUCAAAACACUUUAAACUCUAAAACUAAGUCUACACCAGAGAUUUGGGUAAGGGGGUUCAUUUGACUCGGGGAGAAGGUUUUAGGCACUCCCCAAGUUCCGUGAAGGUCAUGGUUGCGUACUCGAUCUAGUUGGCUUUUAAAAUGUUCGAAUUGAGGCGAAAUCACACAAAAAAAGGAAAAUAAACACGAAAGAUGCUCGAGGUCGUCCCCACCUAAAAUAAAGAAAAGAAAAAUGAAAAUAAAAUAAAAUACUAAGUGUUUAUACUUUUGGCCUCCAUUUACAUUCACUUCGGGGCAUACCCCGGAUAAAAAUAUAUACAAAGUCAACGGGGCAUUCCCUGGAUAAAUUUAACUAAGGAAACGAUCUCUCGCCUCAAAACUACAAAAUCCUAAGGCUUGCCUAUCCAUGUAUUGCCGGCCUAAGCAUGCUCCGACCGAUUAAUUAGUAAAUAGAUCUACGCAAGUGAAAAAUUUAGAACAUUGACAACUUAUGUUUUACCUCAUUGCGUAACUUUAGAUCCAAUCUUAUUUUAAAGCACAUCUCCAAAGAUUAUCCUCUUAAACUCAACAACUAGUAGUCAGAUUUGUCCAAAUUCACAAAUUUACGCUAACAAACAUAUUUUUCAUAGGCUAUAGGAAUCAAAUAAUCUCAAGUGACUAAACAUGGAUCAACUUCUUGAAAUAGUACGUGCCCAUGAGAGACCAAGCAAUGAGAACAAACAUGAACACAUAUUCAAAUCAUUAAUAUGAUUCCUAAACCAAGCACAUUCAAAUCACUAAUUAUAUAACACAGAUUAAAUGCAAUCUAAACCAAAGCUCCAUAUCAUAUUUUUAUAUCACAAAAUGAAAGAAGUAAUAAGAGAAUGAAGAGAUGGACCUUUCGACAAUGGAACGGGAACCAUGACUAGCGAUGCCGAACGGAACACCUAUCGACCUCGACUCUCCAUCGAUGACUGAAGUUGACAACUGUUGCAUCUGGAAUUUCCACUUCCAACCCAAAAUCGUCACCAAUCGAAGACUGAAUAAUGACAAACCAAGCUCUAAUAAAGGCGACGUGAGUUCUUUAGCUACUUAAGAGCCGCUGCUGCUGGUUUUCGAUGAUUUGGCGGCCAUUGGUGCUAUUUUUGGUGAGUCCGGUGGUGGAGGAACAACAGCUGAUCUACUGCGAAGGUGAAGGAGAAGAACCGGGGGUGUGCUGGUGUGUGAUGAAGGAGCAAAAGGUGGUCAGUGACAGUUGAAGGUGGCGUGGAUGCUGGUCGGCUAUGGUGUUUUAGAGAUCAGAGGUUGGGCGGCCAUGGGAGUCUCUUGUCUUCAUGAAGAAGAAUCUAGGGCCAUUGGAGAAGAUGACUGGAGAAGACGCGAUCUGGGUGGCUCUGUUGAUGUCUUCAAUUAGGGUUCUAGGUUUUGUUUUGUUCUUUUUUAAUGAGGAAGAUGGC
rnacentral:lncRNA from 1 species